CCUCCUAGACCCCUCUUAAGGCCUGACUGCCUCCUAGAGAAGGUUCUCUUUCAGAAGAUCUUGUAUUUGAGAAGCCUCUCCAGCAAACUUAGAUCUUCAGAUACAGGGGCUCAGCUAGAGAAGUAGAAGGAAGAUACAAGAGGACAGAGAGAGAAGCAGAGACUUCAGACUGCAGGUUUGCAUAUCUAGUAUGUGAACGGUGUUUUGAAGCAAGCUCAUUCUGCUCUGUGCAUGUUAUGUUAACCAAAAGGCAGCACUUUUUAUUCAUUGAUGUCUGCAAAUCAGAAAAUU